AUCGCUUCUUGGCCUUUUGGCUAAGAUCAAGUGUAGUAUCAAAACUCCCUUUCUUUUGAAUCUAUUGCUUCAUUUUCGCCCAUGCAGGUACUCAAUAAGUUAGAGAGGAUUACAGAAUUACCUAACACCA
rnacentral:snRNA from 1 species